CGUAAUGAGACAGGCCUGAAAAGAAUAUGAAGAGCAACUAGAAAAAAGAUUAAAACAAACAAAAAAUUUAAACGGCGACAGCAGCGGGAAGCCUGCCAAGCUGUCAGGGGGGGCCGCUGGAUGAUCCAGGUGCCGAGGGAGCACUCAAGGAAGACAAGGCUGUGGUGCAGAAGCUAAAUGAAGUUAUUGCAAUGGGCUCCCGGGGCGAUCUUGGCAAUUAGAGGCCGAAUGUCGUUGGCUGCUUAUUGUGUAUUUUGCUGCAGAAGAAUAGGAACUUCUGGUCCAAUCACAAAAAGUGAUCUGCUGUGGAAAGAUAUCAGAAAAAUUUCAAAAUUAACUGGAUCACUUAUUCUCGGAGGUUUCGUAUUUAUUACAUAUGAAGUUCUGGCCCUAAAGAAGUUACUGACACUCGAUACUCAAGUUGUACAGCAAGAGAAAAUGAAGUCCUAUAUUCAUGUACAUACAGUUUCUUUAGAUCCCAGUGAACGCCAAGGAAUCAUGUACAAGGCAAGAAAAGAACUUCAUAAAGUAGUGAGGAAAAUACUAGAAACUGAAGCUAAAAUUCUCCGGAGGCCUUUUGAUGAACAUUUUAGUACAUUUGUAGAAGAUCAUGAACGUGCCUUGUGGGUCCUCUUGAAGAGAAGUCAAUCAGAAGACAGAACCAUUCGACUGCAGGCGGUGCAGCAGCUGGCAGAGAAUGGUCACUGGCAUGAUUAUCAAUAUAGGAUGGUUGCCCAAGCCUGUGAUCAGAAGACUCUGAUUGGUUUGGCCCGAUCCAAGGAUAUUGAUCUUCGUUUUUUUCUGCCACCACCUCAUUUACCAAAAGUAAAAGAUGUCCCAAACGAUUUCUCAAUUUGGAAUGAAUUAGUCCAAAGGAAGAAAACAUUCUAUCUACACCUGCAGAAGAAGCUACUGCUGUUAAAAGAUUAUGCUGUAGAAGAUGAGCUCCGAUUGUUAUUGGUAUCUUUACCUCAGACUGAUCUUGAAAAAUGUGUCCAGUACUUCACAUCUCUGGCUUUAAGAGAGAGCAGUCAGACUCUAGCUGCACAAAGGGGGGGCUUGUGGUGUUUUGGAGGAAAUGGGCUUCCUUAUUGCGAGACUUUGAGUAAAGUCCCUUCAGAGACAGUAGAACUCUUCUGUUUACAAGCUUUAGUGCAACAUUCCAAGGUUUCUACUCAUUGUGAUAAAAUUGAAGCAAAUGGAGGCCUGCAGCUACUACAGAGAAUAUACCGGCUUCGUAACGAUUCUGCGAAAAUACAAAGGAACAUAAUUCGCAUCAUUGGCAAUAUGGCUUUGGAUGAACGUCUUCAUUCAUCUAUAGUACGUGCAGGUUGGGUUUCCAUACUAGCUGAAGCAAUGAAGUCUCCUCAUGUCAUUCAGUCUUCACAUGCAUCCAGAGCCCUGGCUAAUCUGGACAGAGAGACAGUGCUGGAAAAGUAUCCAGAUGGCGUAUAUGUUUUACAUCCACAGUACCGUAGCAGUCAGCCCAUUAAAGCAGACGUCCUUUUUAUUCAUGGUCUUUUGGGAGCAGCAUUUAAAACCUGGCGACAACAAGACAUUAAUCAGCCUUUGGAUGUAAAGGCUUCCGAAGGGGAAGAGAUUUACAGUGAAUGCUGGCCAAAGACAUGGCUAGCCUCAGACUGUCCUUCGCUUAGAAUUGUAUCUGUGGAGUAUGACACCCACCUGAGUGACUGGAAAACAAAGUGCCCUAUUGAGGACUACAGGAAAUCUAUUGCUUAUAGGAGCAAUGAGCUUCUUAACAAGCUUAGAGCUGCUGGUGUUGGAGACAGACCUCUGGUAUGGGUAUCACAUAGCAUGGGGGGUCUUCUAGUUAAAAAGAUGUUGGUGGGUGCUUCCAAGAACCCAGAAAUGGAUAAAAUUGUAAACAACACCCGAGGAAUUAUAUUUUAUAGUGUACCUCACCAUGGCUCCCAGCUGGCUGAAUACUCAAUGAAUGCUAAAUAUCUUCUCUUUCCUUCUGUGGAGGUUAAGGAACUCAGCACAGAUUCUCCUGCCCUUAAAGAACUGAAUGAUGACUUUCUUUCAUUUGCCAAGGAUAAGAAAUUUCCAGUCUUGAGUUUUGCAGAAACCUUACCAACGCAUAUAGGUAGCAUGGUAAAACUUCAUGUGGUACCUGUGGACUCAGCAAAUUUAGGCAUAGGAGACCUAAUUCCAGUAGAGGUUAAUCAUCUGAAUAUUUGCAAGCCAAAGAAAAAAGAUACUUUCCUUUACCAAUAUACUGUAAAGUUUAUUCAAGAUGCUUUAGCAAGAGAACUGGGAAGUUGAGUCUUGACCAUCCUUGCUUGCUUCUCUCUCCCAUUUAGUGUAAUGCAACAAAGUCUUUCCACUGAAACUGUUGGCAGGCCUCCAGAACUACAGACAUGAUAUUAAUAAUAAAAUCAGCUGUCCAAGUGGCUUUGAAUACAUCUUCUACUUGGAAAUCUACAUUGACUAUAUCUGAAAUGCAUUCAAAAUAUAUACAAACUCAACCACAGACCCAGAAAUCUGGCAAUAAAAGUGACCAAUCUCAUGCAGCUAUGCACCUCCAGGAAGUUUGGGCUCUGUGCAUUAUAGAGAAAGGAUCUCUACAGUUUCAAGGGUGGGUUUUUACUUCUGCUACUUUCUGAUCCCCGAGCCAAAGGGAGGGCUGAGACCUCUACUGGACCUUCAUUCGCGCAACAAAUUCAUCAAGCAAGAUUCUGUGUGGUUAUCGUAGCAUUGAUCCUCCCCUCCCUAGAUCACAAGAAUUCAGCAGUAGAGAUGAGACGGCUUGAGCGAGGCUGGAUAGUAAUAGAACUGAACUUGGCUGAUGUCCCAAAUAACCUAGGCAACUGAGAAGAGAAUUAAGCCAAUUAAAGAUUUGUAGAAAAGACAUUUAAUUGACAUUAUUUACAAUUUAAGCACAAAAAAGGUCUAGUUUAAAUAAAGACCCUGGAUUUUCCACAUUUGCUUUAAAAAGUUAGCAUCAUUUUAGUAAUUAUCUAUCCAAAAAGGGGCUUCAUUCCAUUUAUAAGUUAUUGAGCCUGAACUGAAACAUGCAUGUAAUAACUUUUAAUUGCCUGCUUUCCAUAGACCAUGUAAAUGCUUCAUAAAUUUAGCACAGGUAAUGUGUAGCUAGCGCACACUAAAAAGCCUCAUUUGAAAUCAAGGCUAUCUUCCCUUUAGCUAAAUCUUGGGUUGAGAAGCA